UCUCUCUCUUGUUCUUUUCUUCUCUUUUUUUUUGAGACAGAGUUUCACUCUUGUUGCCCAGGCUGGAGUGCAAUGGCACGGUCUUGGCUCACUGCAACUUCCGCCUCCCGGGUUCAAGCGAUUCUCCUGCCUCAGCCCCCGGAGUAGCUGGGAUUACAAGCAUGUGCUCAUGGGCCACCACACCCGGUUAAUUUUGUAUUUUUAGUAGAGAUGAGGUUUCUCCAUGUUGGUCAGGCUGGUCUCGAACUCCCAACCUCAGGUGAUCCGCCCGCCUUGGCCUCCCAAACUGCUGGGAUUACAGGCGUAAGCCACCAUGCCGGGCCUACUUUUCUUUCUCUUUCUCUCCUUCUCUGUCUCUCUCUUUUUUUUUUUUGAGACAAAGUCUUGCUCUGGUCGCCCAGGCCAGAGUGCAGUGGCGCAAUCUCGGCUCACUGCAACAUUCACCUCCCAGGUUUAAGCGAUUCUCCUGCCUCAGCCUCCCGAGUAGCUGGGAUUACAGGUGACCACCACCACCCCCGGCUAAUUUUUUGUGUUUUUAGUAUAGAGAGGAGGUUUCACCAUGUUGGCCAGGCUAGUCUCGAAUUCCCAACCUCAAGUGAUCUGUCCACCUCGGCCUCCUGAAGUGCUGGGAUUACAGGCAUGACCCACCAUGCCGGGCCUAUCUCUCUC
rnacentral:lncRNA from 1 species